UCGGGAAUUUUGGGCAAUGGGCGAAAGCCUGACCCAGCAACGCCGCGUGAGGGAUGAAGUAUUUCGGUAUGUAAACCUCGAAAGAAUGGGAAGAAUAAAUGACGGUACCAUUUAUAAGCUCCGGCUAACUACGUGCCAGCAGCCGCGGUAAUACGUAGGGUGCAAGCGUUAAUCGGAAUUACUGGGCGUAAAGCGUGCGCAGGCGGUUUUGUAAGACAGAGGUGAAAUCCCCGGGCUCAACCUGGGAACUGCCUUUGUGACUGCAAAGCUGGAGUGCGGCAGAGGGGGAUGGAAUUCCGCGUGUAGCAGUGAAAUGCGUAGAUAUGCGGAGGAACACCGAUGGCGAAGGCAAUCCCCUGGGCCUGCACUGACGCUCAUGCACGAAAGCGUGGGGAGCAAACA
rnacentral:rRNA from 1 species